UACAUGUGGGGCAAGCGUUGUUCGGAAUCAUUGGGCGUAAAGAGCGUGUAGGCGGCUUGGUAAGUCCGCUGUGAAAGUCCAGGGCUCAACCCUGGAAUGCCGGUGGAAACUGUCAAGCUUGAGUCCGGAAGAGGCGAGUGGAAUUCCUGGUGUAGCGGUGAAAUGCGCAGAUAUCAGGAGGAACACCAAUGGCGAAGGCAGCUCGCUGGGACGGUACUGACGCUGAGACGCGAAAGCGUGGGGAGCAAACAGG
rnacentral:rRNA from 1 species